rnacentral:snRNA from 1 species
GGGCUCAGCAGCACAUGUACUAACACUAGAAUGCUAAAGAGAAGAUUAGCAUGGCCUCUGUGCAAGGAUGGCAUGCAAAGUCAUGACGAUUUCCAUAUUUUU